AUCUCGGAACCUAAGCAGGGUCGGGCCUGGUUAGUACUUGGAUGGGAGACACCUCUUAGCAGGACAAACUGAA
rnacentral:miRNA from 1 species